AUUUUAUUUGACGGAUGUACCAGUUUUCUUAAGAAAUUUUCAUCUGACCAUAAAACAAAGCGCGUGUUGGUCAGCAUUAACAUUCUUCAUCGUGUGGGCGACGUACAUGAUGAUGAGACCUAUAAUAUCACUGUUAGUGGCGUAUUUCGUUCCUCAUAGUUAUGAAGACAUGAGCUUUAGAAGGCAGCUGGUGAAUCCUAGGAAAAUACUAAAUUUUAUUAGUGGUGCAAUAUUUAUUUUCUUGCCAACUUUG
rnacentral:lncRNA from 1 species